GGGGGAGGGACUUUGGGAGAACGAGGCAAAUUGACGAGCGAAGCAGACGAGCAGAGCUCAAAUGAAUGAGGAAAACGUCUGUCCUGGAGUUUUUUAUCGUCACACAACGAUAAAUACGGAGUUUAUCUACAGUGUGUGGACCUUAAAACAUCCCGAAGGGACACGACGUGCGUGCUCCUUGGACCUUUUUUCGUUCUUUGGAUAAAUUGCUUGAGGACCACCGAGGGGAAAAACGGGCGUCGACGGCGUGUCGGGCUGCAUGCGUCUUCCCAGCGUUCUCAACGGUCAUCAACCAUCUUGCCACCAACCAGAGCCCAUCUCUCAUCUCUUUUCCUUCUUCUUUCUAACUUCCAUCUAUCUCUCUCUCAAGAACAUCUGACUGAUGAUCAACUGGUGGGAAUUUAAGUCUUGUUUGGACAACUUUUUUGUUUGGGAAGAAAGAAGAUCAGCUUCAAGGUGAAGUACACCGACGACCCUCAAUAAAAGAAAUGAACACAUCUGAAAGUUGUGUUGCCAGAAAGCUAAAGGAGUCUCUUAGCUACAGGGAGUGCUUAGCUUCGAUUAGUCAGUGGAGCUGCUGAAGGUCACCACCGUGGAGCAAAGCAGCCAGCAGUAGGCCUUCAUAAAACCAUGCGGCGUAUCAUUAUUUUCAAAGUGUUUCAUUAUGGAUGGUUAACCUUGGCUAACUUUGACCUAACACUGUAAUCAGCUGCCAGUAAUGCCUUCCAAACAGCGCAAUCACACCGCCAUGCUCUUUGUUUAUCAGUCAGGAAAAUACAUCAAAUGUACAAUUUUACUUCCUGCACAGGUAUUAGAAAAGUCAAUUCAAAUAGUCUGGGGAAAAAAAAAAAAAGACGUGUCAUUAGGGGCA